AGACCAAGAGAUUAAGUUAUAUUUUUAGGUAAAAAGACAGUUAGAUUUUAAAUUAUUUAGUUUGUUAAUUUUUUAUAUAAAGGUAAAAUUUGAGUAUAAAAAGCUAAUUUAGUUAUAACUUAUGUUGUUGAAGCUGUGAUAAUCUUGAGGGAAACUGGGAUUAGAUACCCCAUUAUUCUUGAUUGUAAAUUUAAUUAGAUUUACCAGAGUACUAUGAAUAUAAAAAAUUUAAAACUCAAAGGGCUUGGCGGUGUUUUAGACCUAUCAGGGGAACCUGUUUUGUAAUCGACAAUCCACGUUAGACCUGACCUUAUUUUGUGCUUCAGUUUGUAUACCGUCGUCGUCAGGUAACUUUUAAAAAUUUAGAAGUUAGCAAAAGAAUUUUGAAUUAAAACGUCAGAUCAAGGUGCAGCUAAUAAUAAGGAAAGAAUGGGUUACAAUUAUUUUAAUUUAUAAUUACGGAAAAUUACAUGAAAUUGUAAUUAAAAGGAGGACUUGAAAGUAAAAUAAAGUAUGUAAAUAGUUUGAAUAUGGCUCUG
rnacentral:rRNA from 1 species